rnacentral:lncRNA from 1 species
GACAGGAGCAUCAACCCACUGGGUGGCUUUGUCCAUUAUGGUGAGGUGACCAAUGACUUCCUCAUGCUUGAAGGCUGUGUGGUGGGAACCAAGAAGCGAGUGCUUACUCUUCGGAAGUCCUUGCUGGUCCAGACCAAGCGUCGGGCUCUGGAGAAGAUUGACCUGAAGUUCAUUGACAACACGUCCAAAUUCGGACAUGGUCACUUCCAGACCAUGGAGGGGAAGAAAGCGUUCAUGGGACCACUCAAGAAAGAUCGCAUUGCCAAGGAGGAAGGUGCCUGAUGCCAGGAGUACUUCGUGCAGCUGGCGGGGUCUCAUCAGUAAAAUGUUUCCAGUA